rnacentral:rRNA from 1 species
AUUGAACGCUGGCGGCAGGCUUAACACAUGCAAGUCGAACGAGUGGCGGACGGGUCAGUAAUGCUUUGGCAUCUUGCUUAUGGAGGGGGAUAACUACGGGAAACUGUAGCUAAUACCGCGUACCAUAGGAUGAGCCCAAGUGGGAUGGGGUAGUUGGUGAGGUAAAGGCUCACCAAGCCGACGAUCUCUAGCUGGUCUGAGAGGAUGACCGGCCACACAGGGACGGAGACACGUCGCAGACUCCUACGGGAGGCAGCAGUGUGGAAUAUUGCGCAAUGGGGGAAACCCUGACGCAGCCAUGCCGCGUGUAUGAAGAAGGCCUUAGGGUUGUAAAGUACUUGCAGCGGGGAGGCGUUACCCGCAGAAGAAGCACCGGCUAACUCCGUGCCAGCAGCCGCGGUAAUAC